rnacentral:rRNA from 1 species
GGAGCUAGCAAUCCCAUAAACCGUGGCUCAGUUCAGAUCGUAGGCUGCAACUCGCCUACGUGAAGUAGGAAUCGCUAGUAAUCGCAGGUCAGCAUACUGCGGUGAAUACGUUCCCGGGCCUUGUACACACCGCCCGUCACACCAUGGAAGUUGGCCAUGCCCGAAGUCGUUACUCCAACCCUUGUGGAGGAGGACGCCGAAGGUGGGGCUAAUGACUGGGGUGAAGUCGUAACAAGGUAGCCGUACCGGAAGGUGCGGCUGGAUCACCUCCUAA